GGGGGGAAAAGGGGGGGCUGCUAAGACAUGCAAGUCGAACGAGGUGUCCCAAUGAAAAUGAAGUACUUGUACGGAAGAGGAUUUGGAUUCACACCUAGUGGCGAACGGGUGAGUAACGGGUAGGCAACCUGCCCUCAAGACGGGGAUACCAGUUGGAAACGACUGUUAAUACCGGAUAGUAUACAAUAUCGCAUGGUAAUGUAUUUAAAGGAGCUUCGGCUUCACUUGAGGAUGGGCCUGCUUUGUAUUAGAUAGUUGGUGAGGUAAUGGCUCACCAAGUCAACGAUGCAUAGCCGAACUGAGAGGUUGAACGGCCACACUGGAACUGAGACACGGUCCAGACUCCUACGGGAGGCAGCAGUUAGGGAUAUUGGGCAAUGGAGGAAACUCUGACCCAGCAAUGCCGCGUGAGUGAAGAAGUAUUUCGGUAUGUAAAACUCUGUUGUAUGGGAGGAAAGAACUAGUAGGAAAUGGCUAGGAGAUGACUGUACCAUACGAGAAAGUCACGGCUAACUACGUGCCAGCAGCCGCGGUAAUACGUAGGUGGCAAGCGUUAUCCGGAAUUAUUGGGCGUAAAGGGUGCGUAGGUGGCAUGUUAAGUCUGGUGUAAAAGGCAAUAGCUCAACUAUUGUAUGCAUUGGAAACUGGCAAGCUAGAGUGUGUGAGAGGUAAGUGGAAUUCCAAGUGUAGCGGUGGAAUGCGUAGAUAUUUGGAGGAACACCAGUGGCGAAGGCGGCUUACUGGCACACAACUGACACUGAGGCACGACAGCGUGGGGAGCAAAUAGGAUUAGAUACCCUAGUAGUCCACGCCGUAAACGAUGAGCGCUAAGUGUUGGCCAUUAGUUUGGUCAGUGCUGAAGCAAACGCAUUAAGCGCUCCGCCUGAGGAGUACGGUCGCAAGGCUGAAACUCAAAGGAAUUGACGGGUCCCCGCACAAGCGGUGGAACAUGUGGUUUAAUUCGAAGAUACCCCAAAAAACCUUACCUACCCUUGAAAU
rnacentral:rRNA from 1 species